rnacentral:rRNA from 1 species
UACGGAGGGUGCAAACGUUGCUCGGAAUCAUUGGGCGUAAAGCGCACGUAGGCGGCCUGUUAAGUCGGGUGUGAAAGCCCUGGGCUCAACCCAGGAAGUGCACUCGAAACUGACGGGCUUGAAUAUGGAAGAGGGUCGCGGAAUUCCCGGUGUAGAGGUGAAAUUCGUAGAUAUCGGGAGGAACACCAGUGGCGAAGGCGAUCACCUGGGGUUGUUCUGACGCUGAGGAGCGAAAGCUAGGGGAGCAAACGGG